rnacentral:rRNA from 1 species
GACGAACGCUGGCGGCGUGCUUAACACAUGCAAGUCGAACGCAGUGGCGAACGGGUGAGUAAUACUUGAGCAACCUGCCCUCCUUUUCGGGAUAAGCCUUGGAAACGGGGUCUAAUACCGAAUAAAGGGGGAUGGGCUUGCGGCCUAUCAGCGUGUUGGUGGGGUUAUGGCCUACCAAGGCGGGGACGGGUAGCCGGCCUGAGAGGGUGACCGGCAACAUUGGGACUGGGGAACGGGCCAGACUCCUACGGGAGGCAGCAGUGGGGGAUAUUGCACAAUGGGCGAAAGGCUGAAGCAGCAACGCCGCGUGAGUGAAGAAGGGUUUCGGGUCGUAAAGCUCUGUUGUUAAGGGAGGAGGACUUAACCAGAAAGGGACGGCUAACUACGUGCCAGCAGCCGCGGUAAUUC